rnacentral:rRNA from 1 species
CAGGACGAACGCUGGCGGCGUGCUUAACACAUGCAAGUCGAACGAUGAUGCCCAGCUUGCUGGGUGGAUUAGUGGCGAACGGGUGAGUAACACGUGAGUAACCUGCCCCUGACUCUGGGAUAAGCGUUGGAAACGACGUCUAAUACUGGAUAUGAUCACUGGCCGCAUGGUCUGGUGGUGGAAAGAUUUUUUGGUUGGGGAUGGACUCGCGGCCUAUCAGCUUGUUGGUGAGGUAAUGGCUCACCAAGGCGACGACGGGUAGCCGGCCUGAGAGGGUGACCGGCCACACUGGGACUGAGACACGGCCCAGACUCCUACGGGAGGCAGCAGUGGGGAAUAUUGCACAAUGGGCGAAAGCCUGAUGCAGCAACGCCGCGUGAGGGAUGACGGCCUUCGGGUUGUAAACCUCUUUUAGUAGGGAAGAAGCGAAAGUGACGGUACCUGCAGAAAAAGCACCGGCUAACUACGUGCCAGCAGCCGCGGUAAUACGUAGGGUGCAAGCGUUGUCCGGAAUUAUUGGGCGUAAAGAGCUCGUAGGCGGUUUGUCGCGUCUGCUGUGAAAUCCCGAGGCUCAACCUCGGGCUUGCAGUGGGUACGGGCAGACUAGAGUGCGGUAGGGGAGAUUGGAAUUCCUGGUGUAGCGGUGGAAUGCGCAGAUAUCAGGAGGAACACCGAUGGCGAAGGCAGAUCUCUGGGCCGUAACUGACGCUGAGGAGCGAAAGCAUGGGGAGCGAACAGGAUUAGAUACCCUGGUAGUCCAUGCCGUAAACGUUGGGCG